GCCACUGGCAGUGGUCACUGAAUACGGAUGUCGCCGCCCUCCGGAGGCGGGAGCGCAGGUUCGAAUCCUGCCGGGGGCACCC
rnacentral:tRNA from 1 species